GGGCUUCCACGGAGGCCUCCGUGUAGGCCGCAGUGAAGCCUGAACUCGAGUAGGGCCCAAGCCAGCCAGGAAGGAGGAGGCAGCCAGAGUGUUCUCUGCAGCAGAAGACCCCUUGCUGCCCAGCAUUUGCCAGGUUGGGCAGGAUCUGAGCCUUCCUGGCCAGGAGGACCAGUAGAGUGGACCCCCUGGAUGCCCCAAGGGAGUCCGCAGCCUCUGGGCCAGCUACCGCCCCAUGGUGGUGCAUCUGUGGGCAGAGGAACCGGGUGGCACCCGCUGCCUCCCUCACUGCUGCCCUGCUGUCUCCCUCGCUGCCACCAGCUAGAGAGAGCAGCAAGCCAGGGCCCUCAGAGCCGCCUGCGCAGGAUGCUGGAGCUUUCACAGCCUGCCCCGUGAUCACUGCCAGGCUCCAGACAGUGAAGCAGUCCAGAACCCUGAAGGAAGGAGGAAGGAAGGAGAGGAGGUCCUGGAUGGACUUCCUAAUGGCUGUCAUCCAGGCAUGUCAGGAUCAGGAAGCCACCCAGAGAGGGGUGCGGCACCUCCCCUUCUCCAAGGGAUUAGCAGUCCAGGCCGUGCUGAAGGAGAUGGACAAUAUAUGGGAGGAUCCCGUCCGCACUACCUAGUCUCACUUUGCAUGGAGGCCAUCACCUCCUUGAGGUAUGUGGGCGGGAUGGGUCUGGAAGGGGGGAGUGGUGUGGAAAGUAGCAGGAACCUACCCACCACAAUAAUUUGAGGGAGGCCAA